rnacentral:rRNA from 1 species
UACGUAGGGUGCAAGCGUUGUCCGGAAUUAUUGGGCGUAAAGAGCUCGUAGGCGGUCUGUUGCGUCGGCUGUGAAAACCCGAGGCUCAACCUCGGGCCUGCAGCCGAUACGGGCAGACUAGAGUUCGGCAGGGGAGACUGGAAUUCCUGGUGUAGCGGUGAAAUGCGCAGAUAUCAGGAGGAACACCGGUGGCGAAGGCGGGUCUCUGGGCCGAUACUGACGCUGAGGAGCGAAAGCGUGGGGAGCGAAUGGG